AUGAACGCUGGCGGCGUGCUUAACACAUGCAAGUCGAACGGGGAACAAAUUAUUGAAGCUUCGGCAGAUCUAGCUUGUUCCUAGUGGCGGACGGGUGAGUAACGCGUGGGUAACCUGCCUCACACUGGGGGAUAACAGUCAGAAAUGGCUGCUAAUACCGCAUAAGCGCAUAGUACCGCAUGGUACAGUGUGAAAAACUCCGGUGGUGUGAGAUGGACCCGCGUUGGAUUAGCUAGUUGGCAGGGCAGCGGCCUACCAAGGCGACGAUCCAUAGCCGGCCUGAGAGGGUGAACGGCCACAUUGGGACUGAGACACGGCCCAGACUCCUACGGGAGGCAGCAGUGGGGAAUAUUGCACAAUGGGGGAAACCCUGAUGCAGCGACGCCGCGUGAAGGAAGAAGUAUCUCGGUAUGUAAACUUCUAUCAGCAGGGAAGAAA
rnacentral:rRNA from 1 species